rnacentral:lncRNA from 10 species
GUGAGGUGCCUGAGGAUGAGAGGGGGCAGGAAACCACCCAAGAGCACACAGCUUGUUUGGGACAAGGAGAAAAGUGGUGGGAUGGGGUGUCAGCCCUUCUCAUGUGUUCUAAUCAUCAGCCUGUCCUUCACUAUUGGCUCCUUCCCUCCAUCUGUAAAUGCCAUCAGAUCCCUUUCUCCCAAUGCAAAUAAGUAAAUAAGUAAACAGCCAAACACCAACCAAGCCCCCCAACCGACUCCCCCCUACCCUCAGUGCUCCUCUAGUAACUAUCCUGACUCUCCUCUUCUCAUCCACAUUUUUUAAAAAGCAGCCGAUAUUGGGCUGUCUUCACAUGCACUCUGUCCCCAGGCCACUCUCAGUGGGCCUCUUCCUGCUCCAAAUCCAAUGGGCUUUCUUCUCUCUUCUAGGGGACACUCGUCCUUUGUCCCUUCAUACCCCCCGGUUUCUUUGACACCACCCUGCCCUGCUUCUGCCUGCGGCUCUCGGAACCCUCCUUCUGUCCUCCGCGAGCCUGUCUCCUCGCUGGCAUGCCCACGUUCUGCAGGAUUCUGUACCCGCUCAUAGCCCCUCCCACUUUAUGCUCUGUCCUGGGCCAUGCUUUUCAAGCUCACGAUCAACUACAGACAAAGUAUGAUGUCUCCCUGAUUCUGAAUGUCAAUUCUGAGCUUCAAAUCUAAAUAGUCAACAGCUGGUUGGACAUCUCCACCCGGAAGUACUACAGGAACUUCAAACUUAACGCAUCCACAGUGGAAUUCAUGACCGGCCCAGGCACUGCAUUUUCUUCAUUUUUGUGUAUCCAGCACCUAGCAGACAGCAGGCACUCAGGAAUUGUUGGCUGAGCUUACAGCUGCAGGCUUCUUUGGCCUCCCAUGGCAGCGGCGCAGCCGAAUGGAUGGGGCGUGUCUCUGGAAUGUGUGUCCUUGCAUAGCGUUUAUAUCAGAAAGAGCUCCUGAGAAGAUCCAAAAAUGUUUUUAUCUCUUACUUCCCUGACAGGUUGAAGCCCCACCCCAAUGUGGCUAUUUGGAGAUGAGGCCUUUGGGAGAUAAUUGGGGUUGGAUGAGGUCAUGAAGGUGGAACCCUCGUGAUGGGAUAAUGGCUUGAUAAGAAGAGGAAGAGGGAGAGGUCGCUGUCCCUUUCCGCCAUGUAAGCACACAGCAGGAAAGCGACUGUCUACAAGCCAGGAAGAGGGCCCUUAUCAGGAACCAAAUCGGCCACCACUGUGAUCUGGGACUUUGCAGCCUUCAGAACUAUGGAAAUAAAUGCCUGUUGCUUAACCCA